CACUUCUAUUCCCAGCACAAAUUGCUUCUCUGUUUACUCUGCUUUUCGUCACACCUUUUGUUGCUUCCCCGUGACUGUGAAACCCCCUCCCCCCAUUCUCUCUCUCUCUCUCUCUGUAAAAGCCCCCUCUGUCUGUCUGUCUCUCUUUCUCUCUCUCUCUCUCUCUCAUGGCCGGUUGCCGGAAAAUCACUUUCAGCUCCGCCCAAAUUAGCCAUCACACACCGCCACUAGAAACCCCCAAAUAAAACCCAACCCAUUCUUUCAAUUUUUGUUUUUGAAAAAAAGAAAAAGAGAAAAUCAAUGGAAGUGUUUUUGAGAAACAGUUUUGUUGUUGUUGCUUUGGUGGUGGUGUUUUUGCGCCACCGGGUCGACUCAGAGCCGACUCAGGACAAGCUAGCUCUCCUUGCUUUCCUCGCCCAAACCCCUCACGAGAAUCGCCUCCAAUGGAACUCCUCCAACUCGGCCUGCACCUGGGUCGGCAUCCAAUGCGACUCAAAUCUCUCCUUCGUCUACUCCCUCCGCCUCCCCGGCGUCGGCCUUGUGGGUCAGAUUCCGGCCAACACCAUCGGAAACCUAACCCAACUCCGAAUCCUCAGCCUCCGUGCCAACCGUCUCUCCGGUUCCAUUCCCUCCGAUUUCUCCAACCUCAAGCUCCUGCGAAGCCUCUACCUCCAGAACAACCUGUUCUCCGGCGAGUUUCCCCCGAGUAUCCCCCAGUUAGAUCGCUUGACUCGGUUAGAUAUCUCCAGCAACAACUUCACAGGUUCAAUCCCAUUCGCCGUGAACAAUCUGACCCACUUGACGAGACUUUACUUGCAGAACAAUGGGUUUUCAGGUAGCCUCCCCAGCAUCAGUCAAUCAAGCAUAGUAGAUUUCAAUGUCUCCAACAACCACCUCAACGGUUCAAUCCCUACGAGUCUAUCCAGAUUCCAAGCCUCAUCAUUCGCCGGAAACAUCGAUCUCUGCGGCGUACCUCUUCCCCCUUGCAACCCAUUCUUCCCCUCACCAGCCCCAUCGCCGCCUUCAAUUCCGCCGCCAAACCCACCACGCAAAACAGCCAAAAAGCUCUCCAAAGCCGCCAUUAUUGCCAUCUCAGUCGGAGCUGCUCUGAUUCUCCUCCUCCUCAUCCUAAUUCUCAUCCUAUGUUUGCGAAGGGGGCAGCGGCGGCGACAGGCGGCGAAAACCCAGAAACCCACGGCGGCAGCGAGGUCGGGCGCCGGAGCAGCGGGGGCGGCGGCGGGGGAUCCAGGAACGUCGUCGUCCAUGGAGGUGACGGGGGUGUCAGGGGAAGCAGAGAGAAACAAGCUGUUGUUCUUUGAUGGUGGGAUUUAUAGCUUCGAUUUGGAGGAUCUGUUGAGGGCUUCGGCGGAGGUGUUGGGGAAAGGGAGUGUAGGGACGUCGUACAAGGCGGUGCUGGAAGAAGGGACGACGGUGGUGGUGAAAAGGCUCAAAGAUGUGGUUGUUACCAGGAAAGAAUUCGAAACCCAAAUGGAGCUUGUCGGUAGAAUCAAACACGAUAAUGUGCUUCCUCUCAGAGCUUAUUAUUACUCCAAAGAUGAGAAAUUGCUUGUUUCCGAUUACAUGUCUGCUGGUAGCUUGUCUGCUCUGCUUCACGGGAGCAGAGGCUCGGGGCGGACACCAUUGGAUUGGGACAACCGGAUGAGGAUAGCGUUGAGCACAGGGAGAGGGUUGGCACACCUACAUGUGUCGGGAAAAGUAAUCCACGGGAACAUCAAGGCCUCUAACAUCCUCCUCCGCCAGGACCAUGACGCCUGCGUGUCGGACUUUGGCCUCAACCCUCUCUUUGGCUCCACCACGCCGCCAAACCGGGUGGCGGGCUACCGUGCACCGGAGGUAGUUGAAACUCGCAAAGUUACCUUCAAGUCUGACGUCUACAGUUUUGGAGUAUUACUAUUAGAAUUGUUGACAGGCAAAUCACCCAAUCAGGCCUCGUUAGGUGAGGAGGGUAUUGACUUGCCGAGGUGGGUCCAAUCGGUGGUGCGUGAGGAAUGGACGGCUGAGGUUUUUGAUGUGGAGCUGAUGAGAUACCAAAACAUCGAGGAAGAGAUGGUGCAACUCUUGCAGAUCGCGAUGGCGUGUGUAUCGACUGUACCGGAUCAGAGACCAUCGAUGCCUGAGGUGGUCCGCAUGAUGGAGGAAAUCAACCGGGGUGAGACUGAUGAUGGGUUACGACAAUCGUCGGAUGAGCCAUCAAAAGGAUCAGGCGGUCACACGCCUCCACCAGAGUCGAGGACCCCACCUUAGCCACUUUUCUAAAAUUUCAGCAAGAAGAAAAAAAAGAAAAAAAAGAAAAAAGAAAAAAGGUUGAACGGGCCAAUCUUAAGAUGCGCACAGUGCGUAAGUAAGUGGGUGGAAAGUGCGCAGUGUUAUUUUUAUUUUAUAUUUAUUUUUAUUUUUUUAAAUUGUGCAAUUAUUUUUAAUUUUUAUUCUUGGGAGGGGGAGUUCCAUGAACUGAUUGGAAUUGACCAUUUGUUGGGUUUACUCCUUUUUAUUUUUUUUUCUUAUUUAAUUAUUUUUUGAACA